GAUGAACGCUAGCGGGAGGCCUAACACAUGCAAGUCGAGCGGGAAUCUUCUUCGGGAGAUGAGAGCGGCGCACGGGUGAGUAACGCGUAUGCAACCUGCCCCAGACAGGGGGAUAGCCCGGAGAAAUCCGGAUUAAUACCCCAUAUAAUUAUAAUUCCGCAUGGGAAUAUGAUCAAAGCUCCGGCGGUUUGGGAUGGGCAUGCGUGACAUUAGCUGGUUGGUGAGGUAACGGCUCACCAAGGCUGCGAUGUCUAGGGGUUCUGAGAGGAUGAUCCCCCACACUGGUACUGAGACACGGACCAGACUCCUACGGGAGGCAGCAGUGAGGAAUAUUGGUCAAUGGGCGCAAGCCUGAACCAGCCAUCCCGCGUGAAGGAAGACGGCCCUAUGGGUUGUAAACUUCUUUUGUACAUGAAGAACGGUAUUUACGGGUAGAUACAUGACGGUAAUGUACGAAUAAGCAUCGGCUAACUCCGUG
rnacentral:rRNA from 2 species